UACGUAGGUGGCAAGCGUUAUCCGGAAUUACUGGGCGUAAAGCGCACGCAGGCGGUCUUUUAAGUUUGACGUGAAAGCUCCCGGCUUAACUGGGAGAGGUCGUUUGAAUACUGGAAGACUUGAGGCAAUGAGAGGGGUGUAGAAUUCCUGGUGUAGUGGUGGAAUGCGUAGAUAUCAGGAGGAAUACCAGUGGCGAAAGCGGCACCCUAGCGUUGUUCUGACGCUCAUGUGCGAAAGCGUGGGGAGCGAACGGG
rnacentral:rRNA from 1 species